UGUUCAAACUUGCAUGUAUAAUUCGGUCUAAUAUGUGGGGGGACAUUCUAAUUUACCAAUCGAUAGGAUUGUCGAAAAUAUUUCCAAGAGAGAUAGAGAGAGAGAGAGAUGAGGAUGUUUGGGAAGUAUGUAUAUCCAAGGCAAAUCAUGGUUUUCGCUUCCGGGGUUUUAUUCUUGGCCGCAACAACGUACGAUGU